rnacentral:rRNA from 1 species
CCUACGGGUGGCAGCAGUGAGGAAUAUUGCACAAUGGCCGAAACCCUGAUGCAGCGACGCCGCGUGAAGGAGGAAGGAUUUCUGUAUGUAAAGCUCUAUCAGCAGGGAAGAAAAUGACGGUACCUGACUAUGAAGCCCCGGCUAACUACGUGCAAGCAGCAGCGGUAAUACGUAGGGGGCCAGCGUUAUCCGGAUUUAGUGGGUGUAAUGGGAGCGUAGACGGCUAGUCAAGUCAGAAGUGAAAGCCUAGGGCUCAACCUUGGGAUUGCUUUUGAAACUGAGUAGCUAGAGUGCAGGUGAGGUAAGCGGAAUGCGUGGUGUAGCGGUGAAAUGCGUAGAUAUUAGGAGGAACACCAGUGGCGAAGGCAGCUUACUGGACUGUAACUGACGCUGAGGCUCGAAAGCGUGGGGAGCAAACAGGAUUAGAUACCCCUGUAGUC